rnacentral:ncRNA from 1 species
AGCAAAUCGUCGAGCAAGAAGAGUACAUGUUUUCAGAUUGUUAAAGAGAGCCGGGAUGGUGGAAACCGGUACAGGAGAAAGCAUCGAAUGGGCUUGCGAGAGGCGUUCUGAAUAGAGUAGGAAUGCACGGGUUCCGCCGUUAAAAGGAUAGGGUAUCGGAUUUUUCCUGUACCUGAAAAGAGGAAGCGGCAACUAUGCUGCUUCAAUCGAGGUGGCACCGCGGUUACUUAAUCGUCCUCUAU